rnacentral:lncRNA from 1 species
UAUUUUGACGGUGGGGAGCAGAAAUUUGUCACUACAAAAAACUGCGAUUAAUAUUUUAGAAUCUUGUGAACAGAAAAACAUUAAUAUUCAGACUCGCUGGGUCCCUCGGGCUCAGAAUGUGUAUGCAGAUCAACUUAGUCGUUAUACAGAUCACGAUGACUGGUCUUUAAACGAUGAAACAUUCAGUUUUUUAAACAAUAUUUGGGGUCCGUGUAGCAUAGACCGAUUUGCCACUCAUUACAAUACACAUUGUUCGCGUUUCAAUUCAGUUAUAUGGUGCCCAGGAACUGAAGCAGUUGACAGUUUUAGUCAAUAUUGGGGAAAUGACAACAAUUGGUUGGUACCCCCACCUUCUUUGAUUGCAAAAACAGUAAACAAAAUGUGCAAUGAGCGUGCUAAUGGUAUUUUGGUUAUACCAGAAUGGAAAUCGGCGGC